AUACAGAGGGUGCGAGCGUUAAUCGGAAUUACUGGGCGUAAAGCGCGCGUAGGCGGUCUAUUAAGUCAGAUGUGAAAUCCCAGGGCUCAACCUUGGAACUGCAUCUGAUACUGGUAGACUAGAGUUUUGGAGAGGGAAGUAGAAUUUCAGGUGUAGCGGUGAAAUGCAUAGAGAUCUGAAGGAAUACCAGUGGCGAAGGCGAAUUCCUGGCCAAAAACUGACGCUGAGGUGCGAAAGCGUGGGUAGCAAACGGGAUUAGAAACCCCGGUAGUCC
rnacentral:rRNA from 1 species